GCAAGAGCACUACUGCAUCUGCCAAGUAUUUUGUCGGAGAAGGGGUCAUUUACAAAUCUACUAAUCUUUUUUGUUAUCAUAAUAGCAUGAUCUACCUGUAAUGGAGGUGGGGUGGUCAGUUGUGGCCCACAACUUGUGUGUGGGUGUGCGUGUGUGUUCAGUAACCAUCAGUUAAUCAUAUAUCAAUAUAGCACAUCUGCAAUUCAACCUAUCCAAUUCAAAGUAGUACAUCUCUAAUUCAACAUAUUCAAUUCAAAUUAGCACAUAUCCAAAUUCCAAUUCAAUAAACCACAUAUCCAAAUCAAUUCAAACUAAAUACCUAAUAUUCAAUCACAUAUCCCAAUUCAAAC
rnacentral:lncRNA from 1 species